UACGGAGGAUCCAAGCGUUAUCCGGAAUCAUUGGGUUUAAAGGGUCCGUAGGCGGCCCCGUAAGUCAGUGGUGAAAUCUCCCGGCUCAACCGGGAAAUUGCCAUUGAUACUGCAGGGCUUGAAUUAUUGGGAAGUAACUAGAAUAUGUAGUGUAGCGGUGAAAUGCUUAGAUAUUACAUGGAAUACCGAUUGCGAAGGCAGGUUACUAUCAAUACAUUGACGCUGAUGGACGAAAGCGUGGGUAGCGAACAGG
rnacentral:rRNA from 1 species